rnacentral:rRNA from 1 species
UGAACGCUGGCGGCGUGCCUACUACAUGCACAUCGAGCGAACGGACGCGAAGCUUGCUUCUCUGAUGUUAGCGGCGGACGGGUGAGUAACACGUGGAUAACCUACCUAUAAGACUGGGAUAACUUCGGGAAACCGGAGCUAAUACCGGAUAAUAUUUUGAACCGCAUGGUUCAAAAGUGAAAGACGGUCUUGCUGCCACUUAUAGAUGGAUCCGCGCUGCAUUAGCUAGUUGGUAAGGUAACGGCUUACCAAGGCAACGAUGCAUAGCCGACCUGAGAGGGUGAUCGGCCACACUGGAACUGAGACACGGUCCAGACUCCUACGGGAGGCAGCAGUAGGGAAUCUUCCGCAAUGGGCGAAAGCCUGACGGAGCAACGCCGCGUGAGUGAUGAAGGUCUUCGGAUCGUAAAACUCUGUUAUUAGGGAAGAACAUAUGUGUAAGUAACUGUGCACAUCUUGACGGUACCUAAUCAGAAAGCCACGGCUAACUACGUG